GCAUAGUUAGACCCUGUACCAAACACAAAUAAAUAAAUAUUAACAAAAACUUUUUAACGUGCAAGAGCAAAGCACACCUUGAACCUUUGCCCAGCCUCUGCUGUGGGCUGAGAGCACUGAAGGGGCGGCACAGUG
rnacentral:snoRNA from 1 species